CUUGAAGAAGAAUGGGUAGAAAAGAACCCUGACCAUGCCUUUACGGGUCAGAGCGGUCCAUGGGCUCUCCGGCUUGGCCUUGCUAAAUGUGGAGCCUGAAAACAAGAGACUUGAGCAGUUGAAAGCAGUUGAUCAGAUCGAAGUCUUCUUGAAAAUGUAGAACGAUGACAUCAGUAUCCGAUGCCAGUGAUGUGUCAAGACAUACUAAG